UACGGGGGGAGCAAGCGUUGUUCGGAUUUACUGGGCGUAAAGGGCGCGUAGGCGGCCACCGCAAGUCGAUUGUGAAAUCUCCGGGCUUAACCCGGAAAGGUCAACCGAUACUGCGGGGCUAGAGUGCAGAAGGGGCAACUGGAAUUCUCGGUGUAGCGGUGAAAUGCGUAGAUAUCGAGAGGAACACCUGCGGCGAAGGCGGGUUGCUGGGCCGACACUGACGCUGAUGCGCGAAAGCCAGGGGAGCGAACGGG
rnacentral:rRNA from 1 species